AUAAAACUUGGAGGUGCUCGCGAUCAUUUUCUGAAUCCUUGAAUGGUACAUUCAUCUCCAGGCUGCUUUGAAUGCUUUAGCUUCUCAUGUUUUUGGAUUCUCCUGCUGGAAAGGAUGAGUAUGCUCAAUGGAUUGUAGCUAGCCAGCGGAGCCUUAUUGAAGUUAUGGCCGCAUUUCCUUCAGCUAAGACUCCUUUGGGAAUUGGGAGUAUUCUUUGCAGCGGUUGCUCCUCGUCUACAGCCACGAUUCUACUCCAUAUCAUCAUCUCCAAAGAUGGCUCCCUCCAGAACUCAUGUGACAUGUGCAUUAGUUUAUGGGCCUACACCAACAGAAAGGAUCCACCGAGGAGUUUGUUCGACAUGGAUUAAGUUCUCGUUAGUUGGUUGGUGAGCCCUCAAUUGUUGGAUGUUACUACCAAAAUUGAUCCAUCCAGAGCACCACCUGCAGGAAUUUUCUUAUAUAAUGACCCACAAGUACUUCUUAGGCAGUAUGAUCUAUGAGCUGGAUGGAAAAUCUGAUGUAAGAGUACUAUCAAUUCGCAUACCUAAUUAUUUCCAUGCAUACUGCACUUUCUACCCCUAA